CUGUGCGGAUUGUUUGUUGUCAUCAAGAUGGAGUUCCUACUGGGCAAUCCGUACAGCACUCCUGUCGGCCAGUGUAUAGAGAGGGCCACAGAUGGCGGCCUGCAGAAUGAGGACUGGACCCUCAACAUGGAGAUCUGUGACAUCAUCAACGAAACCGAGGACGGGCCUAAAGACUCAAUGAGAGCACUGAAGAAGAGGCUGGGUGGGAACAAGAACUACAGAGAGGUGAUGCUGGCACUGACGGUGUUGGAGACCUGUGUGAAGAACUGUGGCCACAGGUUCCACGUGCUUGUAGCCAGCCGGGACUUCAUAGAUGGCGUGCUGGUCAAAAUCAUCUCACCUAAAACCAACCCUCCCACCAUCGUACAGGACAAAGUACUGGCACUGAUCCAGGCCUGGGCCGAUGCCUUCAGGAGUAGCCCAGACCUGACGGGCGUGGUCCAUAUUUAUGAGGAGCUGAAAAGGAAAGGUAUCGAGUUCCCCAUGGCAGACCUGGACGCGUUGUCACCCAUCCACACUCCACAGAGGGGUAUGCCUGAAGUGGACCCAGCCGUGCUCAAGUACCGAGCCCAGCCCCAGCCCCACGCCGCCGCAGCCCCGCCCCAACCGGCCCUCACUCAGUUGCCGGGCCCCACCUCUGCCGUGCAGAUCCCCCACAUCCCUGAGGUCCAGGGCCCAAUCACCGCCGACCCCGAACAGAUCGGCAGACUGCGGAGUGAGCUGGAUAUCGUGAGAGGAAACACCAAAGUCAUGUCAGAGAUGCUGACAGAGAUGGUGCCAGGACAGGAGGACACCUCUGACCUGGAACUGCUUCAGGAGCUGAACCGGACUUGCAGGUCCAUGCAGCAGAGGGUGGUGGAGCUGAUCUCCCGUGUGUCAAACGAGGAGGUGACCGAGGAGCUGUUACACGUCAACGAUGACCUCAACAACAUCUUCCUACGAUACGAGAGGUACGAGAGGUACCGGUCGGGUAGAGCUGCCCAGAACAACGGGAUGCUGAGCGAGGCCACGGAGGACAACCUCAUAGACCUGGGUCCAGGCUCCCCUGCCGUGGUCAGCCCCCGGGUCAGCACCAGCCCCAACCCCCCCCCGCCCAGCGUCCCUCCAGCGGGAGCUAGCGCCUCCCCCGCCCGUACCCCCGCAUCCCUUUCCACACAGCUGGCCAGCCUGGAUGUGGGAGCAGACGGCGUCAGUGGGACUCUGUCCUCUCUGUCCAGCCAACCCAACCAGGAUGACUUUGACAUGUUUGCCCACACCAGGACCAGCUCUUUGGCCGACCAGCGCAAAAAUGUGAAGUACGAGGACCCCCAGGCACUGGGAGGCUUGGCCUCUGCGCUGGGUGUGAGACAACAGAAUGCUGGGGGGCUGAGGGUAAAGGGGGAUGAUAACGCAGAGUUGGAGCCCAUAGACAGCUGGCUCAUUACCCAAGGAAUGGUGAGGACCCCAUCCUCAGUGUCCUCCCCCCCCCCCGUCAUCCAUCCGUCCUCCCGUCAUCCUCAUCCAACCCCCAUCCCCAGUCCCCACCUUGUUAGCUGCUGUCCCCUGCUCUUGACCAGACCCCCAGCCCUGCUGAACCCAGCCAGCUCCAACAGUAGAAGGGGGAGGCGGGAGAGCCUAGUCCUAGUCUUACACCUGCUGACGGCUCAUGAGAGGAAUUUUCCAGAGUCAAUGGCUACAUGCACAAGAGAUUGUCGCAGCAUUCCUGUCAGUUUAUCCCCCACCCUGCAUGGAACACGUGCCAAACAACUUCACACAAACACACACACACACACACUCAUAGACAACCUGACAUGGGCUCCCCCUCUCCCUGUCCCUUCCACUGUUGUCAGUCAUCCCCUCAUCCUCUCCUCUCUCCAUCCCCUCCAUGGAGGGAAUGACAGGCCUUGCCUGGGCCCCAGGAACAAGUGGGUUGUCAUCAGUCUGAGACCUAACACUAUCUAACGGUCAUACACUAAACAGACCAGGUAAAAGAGUGAACGAUGCUCCUGCUCCACAGCACUAUGGUCUCAUUCAUAAACACAGUGCCUCACCUUGAGUGGUGGUGGAAUGUUCCCAGCGUGUCCAGAAUCUGGAUAGAUAAUAUCGUCAACUUCUUUGUCACAGAAAGUGUCAUUGACUCUUCAUCUCCCACCAUAUUCAAACGCAUGCUAACAGUCUCUAGAGAACUGAGGUUCCGAACCCGAUAACUCACUUUACAAAGUAGUCCCACACUAACGGGAAGUAUUCUGUUAACAUUCUAACCAAUCAGAUGAGUUGCUGUUGUUGGAGUUUGAUUAUAUUGAUACCUUCAAUGAACUCAUUCUGUUGAAUGCAACACGUACAAACCAGAAAACACCCCUUUAAUGAAUUAGUAAAAACAGCUCUCUUUGGUGACAUUCUACAGAUCCUCCUCAUGAAUCCAAUCUCUGCGGGGAUUCUGGGUCACAAUCACCCCCCUUCUUUCCCCCACUGAAGCAUUUCUGGAACCCUAGUGAUCCUUACAAACCUGUGUCACCUUUUGAUAUUUUCUUUGAACGAACAGCCUCCUGGGAAAUGGUUGAAAGUUGAUAUCAAAGUCCUACCGGGGAAGGGUUUGGCCUUUCUGGAAACAGUGGGUCUCCGGCAAAAUCUUCAAGUCCACGGAAACCUUUGGGUACUCGGAAACUUUCAAAACAACAAGACUUUGUUAAAAAAAAAAGAAGAAAUAAAAACACGUACACUUUGUUGUUUUGUUGUACAAACACAGUGAAUGCAGUUACUUGGAAGAUCUUGAGCUGAACUUUUCUUUUCUAAUCUUAUGUCUUGUUCUUUCAACAGUCCCUACUGUUGUAAAAUCAUGGAUAUGUUCACUGGGGCACACUGGUGUUUUUCUUACGAAACACAAACCUUUUAACUGCUGUGCCCCUUAAUGCUAUGACAUAUUUUGAAAGGAUUUCUUGAUCACAUUGGUCACUGUUUGAAUCCUAGAUGAAUCACAUGACAUGGCGUAGCGAUGAUAUUGACCUAUCAGUCAGGUCAGCGAAGCGGCAUCUUUGACCCCUCCCACAUCUGUCCUGGAUGUCUGUGCUCCUCCACGCACAUCACCAGCCCUGAGACAACGCUCUCCUCUCCAUCCACACAAUCACUGCAUGCCAUGCAGCAUUGUUCAUGCUCUGUGUGCAGUGUGUGUUUGUUGAUCCUCAUCUUUAGUCCCCGGAAGCCUGUGUGUUUUAAAUUGUUCACUGACUGUUCAUUGACUAAAUUGUGACCAUUCAUGAUAGCCCCAAAUGAGACAGAGGAACUCAUGACCACAAUAAACUAAGUAUAACACUUUCAUCAUUAUAGAAAACCCUGAACCUACAGGCCUCUGGAAGACGCGUGUGUGUGUGUGUGUGUGUGUGUGUGAGUGAGGAUGUUUGUUACAUGGGUUUGGUUUGAUGGCUUCAUUUGGUUGUCAUCUAUCUCUCUGAGCCUCCGGUGAAUCUUUCUUUUUGUGUUAUGUUUGUUUGUUGUUGUUGGGCGGCCACGUCCGUUUCUUUUGGGUGGUUUUGGCCGGCGCUCUGUUUGUCCAUGGCUUUGCUCCAUAGAUCCCUGUAUCGCAGUCCUCUGUCAUGGAUGACAUUGAGGAGUGGCUCUGUACUGAUGUGAAAGGUGAUGGGGCAGAGGAAGGGGUGACCAGUGAAG